rnacentral:miRNA from 1 species
UGGCACCAAUGAUACCAAGUUU